rnacentral:rRNA from 1 species
GACAGAGGGGGCAAGCGUUGCUCGGAAUUACUGGGCGUAAAGGGCGCGUGGGCGGCCUUCUAAGUCGGAGGGGAAAUCCCUCGGCUUAACCGAGGAACUGCGUCCGAUACUGAAAGGCUUGAAUCCGGGAGAGGGAUGUGGAAUUCCAGGUGUAGCGGUGAAAUGCGUAGAUAUCUGGAGGAACACCGGUGGCGAAGGCGGCAUCCUGGACCGGUAUUGACGCUGAGGCGCGAAAGCUAGGGGAGCAAACGGG